rnacentral:rRNA from 1 species
UACGGAGGGAGCUAGCGUUUUUCGGAAUUACUGGGCGUAAAGCGCACGUAGGCGGCUUUUUAAGUCAGGGGUGAAAUCCCGGAGCUCAACUCCGGAACUGCCCUUGAAACUGGGAAGCUAGAAUCUUGGAGAGGCGAGUGGAAUUCCGAGUGUAGAGGUGAAAUUCGUAGAUAUUCGGAAGAACACCAGUGGCGAAGGCGACUCGCUGGACAAGUAUUGACGCUGAGGUGCGAAAGCGUGGGGAGCAAACAGG